CAACUAGGAAGUCACGUGACUCAAGGUGGCGUGGAGCCAGUAGAAGCUUGAAAGCCGAGAAAGAAGGAGGCGAGCUGGUGGACGUGAAGCUAGGAAGGAAAUCUUGCAGGUGCUUGGAACAAACUACGAAGGUCACCAACAUUCCGUUAACUUAGUUGACCCGCAGGACAAAACAACCCACACACAAUGUUGAGAAGAUAUGUGGAGGGAUGCCAAGUGCAAUCUCUGUGGAAGGAGGAAAAAAAAUAUAUAUCAGGUCACUGUUGGGCACCAUUGACCCCAACGAGCGCCUGCACGUGUUCUAGAGAUGGCCGCACUGCAGCUUAUUACAACCCCAGCUGCCCAUAGGAAUCUUUUGUCUCCAAUUUAAUUUUGAAUAUUUCCCUGAAAUGCUUAAGCCAAGACAUCUACAAGUUAAAAAUGUGCUACGGAACUACUUGAGCGAAGGCAAUGGUGCAAAGACAUCAUGUGUUACACACAGCACGUUACACACCUACAUGCAUAACAAUAGUGAUACUUUCAUAGACCAAAAAAUUUCAACUUGAAUAAGUGUUGUUCAGCAAGGGCAUAUGAGUGAGAGGAAAUAUUAGGGAUAGAGGGACAAGUUAAGGAGCAUUAUAGGAUGAAGAGGAUGGUGUGUGUUUCCUGUACCAUGAUGAAAGAAUAUCAAAUGACAAAAUAAAAACAUCAGUAACACAGUUCAGUGUCUGUUGGAGGAACAAAUGUAUAAAUUCCUUUAUCUUUUAGCUAGCAGUUUCCAUGAAACUACACUUCCCUCCUAGCAUUUUGUUAACUUCCAGUGCAGUAUUAAACCACUUCAGCCUUUCAGAGGAAGCGUGCACGCAGACACACACACACACACACAUAGUAAGAAGCUGAGGAAGGGAUGAUGUGUAAGAAAUAUUAAAAAGUAUAGUUUCCCGCAAAGAUGUAUUGAGACGUGGAACAGUUUGAAUUAAGAAGUAG